rnacentral:rRNA from 1 species
GAUGAACGCUGGCGGCGUGCCUAAUACAUGCAAGUCGAGCGAACGGACGAGAAGCUUGCUUUCUGAUGUUAGCGGCGGACGGGUGAGUAACACGUGGAUAACCUACCUAUAAGACUGGGAUAACUUCGGGAAACCGGAGCUAAUACCGGAUAAUAUUUUGAACCGCAUGGUUCAAAAGUGAAAGACGGUCUUGCUGUCACAUAUAGAUGGAUCCGCGCUGCAUUAGCUAGUUGGUAAGGUAACGGCUUACCAAGGCAACGAUGCAUAGCCGACCUGAGAGGGUGAUCGGCCACACUGGAACUGAGACACGGUCCAGACUCCUACGGGAGGCAGCAGUAGGGAAUCUUCCGCAAAGGGCGAAAGCCUGACGGAGCAACGCCGCGUGAGUGAUGAAGGUCUUCGGAUCGUAAAACUCUGUUAUUAGGGAAGAACAUAUGUGUAAGUAACUGUGCACAUCUUGACGGUACCUAAUCAGAAAGCCACGGCUAACUACGUG